CCGAGACUGCUGCCGCCUGGCACCCACAGCCUGCCCUUGGAGAGGCCCCUGGGUGUCCAGAGGAGGUGGAACCCCCCAGCGUCAGUGCUUAGCUCCAUCAGCAUCCUCGUCCCCCCUGACGAGGAGCAGGCCCUGGGAGAGGUGGCCCUCUGUGACCACUGGCGGCCAGGAGCCCCUGCUAUUUCAGAAGAGUCAUUAGCCCAGGCCCCUGUGCCCAGGCUCAAUAUGGAGCUUGUCUGCCUCUCAGAGGGGGUUUGUACACCUGGGAGUCAGCGUUGAGUCAAGCCCAGCAGCUAAUGAUGGGACUUCAUGUUAACACGAUACUACGUCACUUGAGGCUGUCCCACAGAUCACAGGUGACCUGGUCUAAAAAAAUGCUUUAAUCCUCUUUUCUCUGUGUCCUUUUGAAUAGUUUAUAUUGUGAGGUUUUACAAUAAAUACUGCUUUCCUCUUUGA